GACGAACCGUGCGAACGUUGUUCGGAAUCACUGGGCUUAAAGGGCGCGUAGGCGGGUGCUCAAGUCCGUGGUGAAAUCCUCCGGCUCAACCGGAGAACUGCCUCGGAUACUGGGUGCCUCGAGGGUGGUAGGGGUAUGCGGAACUAUCGGUGGAGCGGUGAAAUGCGUUGAUAUCGAUAGGAACUCCGGUGGCGAAGGCGGCAUACUGGACCACCUCUGACGCUGAGGCGCGAAAGCCAGGGGAGCAAACGGG
rnacentral:rRNA from 1 species